ensembl:lncRNA
UUUUUUGUACGUGGCUGAGUAGAACAUUCUGGGGCCUUCAGAAGAAGCUGCCAUCCCUCAUGAGUGUCUGUGUGAUAAAUAUGUAACUGGGGUUAAAGUGCCAGGCUCUUAGAAACACCAUUAAUCACAGCCCUAAACAGGCUUUCCUUCACCAGCGCCUCAGGCCAUUUCAAAUCUAUGCCUUUAUGGAUGUUAAUUGAAUGCAAUGAUCUGAGGGAGUUGUCAGGAGUCACCACUAAUUACAGCAAGUUUUCUACGAAAGACGAGCUGUUUAUCUAGCCCUGCUCUGACUUGAUUCCCCAGUGCAUGAUUCGACCGGAUGUUAUUUACUUCAAUUUUUUUUUUUUUUGAACCAGUGCCUUCCAUUUCAAAGCUGUGGGAUCUGUCAGGUCCAGGAUGGAAACUGUGCUGUUCCUGUGCUGAAGGGAUCUGUCAGGUCCAGGAUGGAAACUGUGCUGUUCCUGUGCUGAAGGGAUCUGUCAGGUCCAGGAUGGAAACUGUGCUGUUCCUGUGCUGAAGGGAUCUGUCAGGUCCAGGAUGGAAACUGUGCUGUUCCUGUGCUGAAGGGAUCUGUCAGGUCCAGGAUGGAAACUGUGCUGUUCCUGUGCUGAAGGGCACAUUUCCCAUCAUGCCUUGCCUGCUGUCAGUCAGGCCUCCCUCCGUGCGGAGCCAGCUGCAUGUCAGCGGCAAGACGGCUUUAUACGUCCCAUGGUACAGAUGAAUUUAUCAAGCGUCUCCCUUUUCUCAAUAUUUGAACAAGCCAGCCAGCUACCUUCUUCACAAGAGCCCUUUGCGUUGAUGUAAUGCAAUAAGGCAAAAGUGUAUAAGUGUGUUCAGCACCAGAUUUGAUUUAUUUUAAUUUGCUGAAAUGUUUCUGCCUUGGCUUUGAGACAUGGGGGAGGUAUAAUAAAUUGGCUCACAUGAAAGCUACCCCUGAAAGUUUUGAUUUAUAUAUAAAAUUCUUUUCUAAAUGACAAACUCCGACUCCAUUCCCAAGAGGCCCGGUUCUCUGGACUCAUUCACUUUGAUUACGUGAGUGAAGUGGAGGGAGAGAGAAUGAAGGUAAAGCCACUGAAACUUUAUCCAAUUGCUUUCUUCACGGGGGCCCGCCCGCCUGCCCGCCC